AUUGAACGCUGGCGGCAUGCCUUACACAUGCAAGUCGAACGGUAACGCGGGGCAACCUGGCGACGAGCGGCGAACGGGUGAGUAAUGUAUCGGAACGUGCCCAGUUGUGGGGGAUAACUGCUCGAAAGAGCAGCUAAUACCGCAUACGACCUGAGGGUGAAAGCGGGGGAUCGCAAGACCUCGCGCAAUUGGAGCGGCCGAUAUCAGAUUAGGUAGUUGGUGGGGUAAAGGCUCACCAAGCCAACGAUCUGUAGCUGGUCUGAGAGGACGACCAGCCACACUGGGACUGAGACACGGCCCAGACUCCUACGGGAGGCAGCAGUGGGGAAUUUUGGACAAUGGACGCAAGUCUGAUCCAGCCAUGCCGCGUGCGGGAAGAAGGCCUUCGGGUUGUAAACCGCUUUUGUCAGGGAAGAAACGCUCUGGGUUAAUACCUCGGGGUAAUGACGGUACCUGAAGAAUAAGCACCGGCUAACUACGUGCCAGCAGCCGCCGCGGUAA
rnacentral:rRNA from 1 species